AGGUUUCAAGUAAAGAUUUUGUGUUUUAGCAGUUGAAAAAAAACUGUAAGACACAGUCUUAACAUGGAGUUAACAAGUUAAUGCAACUGGCCCUGAACUACACAAAGCUCCAGCAACAGAUUGAGGAAUUAUUCAAAGAUGCCAGAAGGCCCAACUGGAUGUCCAUACUUCGUUUUAUCCAUACAAAUCUUGACUUUGAGGAAAACUCAGAAGUUGUUUCAGCUGGACACUUUCAAGAUGAUGGUUGAUACAAAAUGCAGAAGACAUCAAAAGCUGUACCGCCCAAUCCUCGCCCAGUCACAAGAAAGACAAUGGCAUGAUGGAUGAUUCACAAGCGCCUCGUCCAUCAGCAAUCCAUCUCUGCCUGGCUUUGGUUAAAGAUCUGAUGCUUAAGGCUUCCUUUGAUGCAUCUGAAGAAGAGAUUUGUAACAAAACUGGGGAAUCCAUCAUUUAAGUUGUGAUUUAUUUGAAUGAAUCCCUUUGGGUUUGAUAAAAGUCAAUCUAGAUGUUUAUGGGAUUCACACAGAAAGGACCGCACCCACUGAUAGUGCUGUUAAUUUGCAUUUGCUUUAUGCAUUGUUUUAGCACUAGAUUCACCUAAUCUAUGUGAAUCAUAUGGCCUUUAAAAAUUGUUUUUAGGUUCAAUGGUUCAAAUGUGCUUGAUUAUGGGUGGUUAGUGAUUAAAGAUUAAAGUUUUUUGCU